AGCAACCAGUUCAUACAAAGGAACAACAGACAAAAAAUGAUUUUUCAACAUGCCUUUGGCCUCUCCCCUCCUUUUUCCCUGAAAUCAGCCUCAGAUCACUGGCUCCCAGGCCUUGAAAAGCACUCCAGGUCAAACAAGAAAUGAUGCAUCUCACUUGCCUGCUGAUAAAGCUCCCUUGCUGGCCCUCAGUACCAUUGGAGGUAUAUGUCUUCUUCUGCCCCUCCUUCACACAGUGAUCAAGAGGUCUGAGUGCUCAGUGAGCAUCCAAAAGAUGAAGAGGAAUCCCCAGCACUUCAUGAACCUAUGGGCAUAGAGACUUUGGAGUCUCCAAAAAGAGUGCUGGUUUGAAAAGUCAUCUCUAGGACAGAAUCAUAGCUCUACAACUCUCUUCCUUGUAAGAAACUGGACAUGCUAUGUCAUUUUUUGACCUCGGUUUUCUGGACUAUAAAAUGGGCAUAAAAUAAUAUCUACUUUUUAGGGUUGUGAGGAUUGGAAGAGACACCAUAUUGAAAAUGCCUUGUACAGAGCAGAUAUUCCACUACUGUAAGUUCCUUUUCCUUGCUCUUGUCUUAGAAAUAUUUUCAGCUUACCACCCCAAGGUUGAUGAACAUUACAAGGCAAGGAAAUAAUUAUUUAUUGUAUCUCUCUAUUGUGUCCAGCACUGAAUUAGAGGAGCCUGGAGUGGUGUGAAGAUCAUGAGGUACUAGGGGGUCUGAGUUCUUGUCUUGCCUUUGCCAAUAAUUCUGCACGACCAUAUAAAAGGCCACACUCUGGGCCUUUUUCUGUAUCUGUAAGAUGAGGGGGUUGGAUUUGAUGACCCACAGUUCUCUCUCACUUCUGGCCCUCUGUCUUACCAAAAUAUGGGUUUCCAAUCACCUCCCCACUCCCUGGUUGUGUGGCCCAGCAUCUCAUGGCACACUGGACCCUCCUGUUGUAGUUCAUACCACCCACUAUUGCUUUCACGUCUUUCUCUCCCACUAGACUGGGAACUCCUUGAGGGCAGGUCUGUGUUUUGUUCACUGUUAGAUCUCCAGUGCCUACUGUGUCAUAGUGGACACCCCGUCAAUGUCUAAGGAAAUUGGAAGGAAGGAACCCUGUACCUUUCCUCUGAAGGGUUGAUGAUCACACUGUGACAUACAAGCUGUGAGGCAAAGAGAGACUGUCAGUGGAGCAACGAUAACAAAGAGUUCCCCACAACUUGGGAAGAACUCUGUCUGUCUUCUGAGUGCUGAUGCUAUAAAUUCACACACCAUGCAUGUGCUUAUCUGUCUGUGACAGUAAAUCAAGACAGAGUAAAGGGAGAGUUCAAAAUCCAGAAGCCAGACUUGUUUACCUGAAGGUCAUCAUUGCAUGGUGACUGUAAUCUAAAAUAUAGAAACAAAAUGUGUCAUGAUAUUCUCAGUACAGAAAAAGUCAGGGUGAAAGAAGGGAGGAGUGGAGAAAUGGAAAGUCCAAAGGGGACAAAAUUGGCAAUAUGUCUCUGGCCUUGUCAUUGUCUGGUGAGAGGGGAUCUUGCUAGCAGGUGUGAGCAUUGUCACCAUCUUGAACGAGGCUUCUCCUCAGUGAAAAGGAGAAUUUUAGAGCUGACAGACCCUUCUGACCUCAUUCCCUGUGUUCUGACUCCGUACACACCAAAGAUAACUUCUGAUGAGAAACUAGCUUUAUACAAAACUCUUAGGGAAUAAGGGUCACAUUGCACAUGAGUGCCCUACCUACAUGACAAUUAAAUCUCUCAUUGAAAACAA